GUGGUUGCUCUGGCAGCCCUCGGGUUGUUUCUAUUGACCUUUGAGUUUCUAGUUAUCGCCAAACGGUGUCAGAGGUCGCGUGGGAACUGCCCAGCCGUAACAGCAAAGCGGAGAGCGUUGGGGGUAGGGCAAGACAGUGCGUCAGAAAGAGGGUUAGAUAACGAAUUAAAGAGUUUUAAGGGAAAAAGUGCACUUAAGAAAGGAGACCCUCUCGAGGACUUUAGAUCCGCGGGAGAGAGAGAUUGGGGAAAAAACGCCCCAGGUGAGAUAAAACAGAGGAA
rnacentral:lncRNA from 1 species